UACGGGGGAUGCAAGCGUUAUCCGGAUUUAUUGGGUUUAAAGGGUGCGUAGGCGGUCCGUUAAGUCAGCGGUAAAAUUGCGGGGCUCAACCCCGUCGAGCCGUUGAAACUGUCAGACUUGAGUUGGCGAGAAGUACGCGGAAUGCGCGGUGUAGCGGUGAAAUGCAUAGAUAUCACGCAGAACGCCGAUUGCGAAGGCAGCUUACCGGCGCUCAACUGACGCUGAGGCACGAAAGUGCGGGUAUCGAACAGG
rnacentral:rRNA from 1 species